CCUGUAAGGUCCAAGAGCAUCAGAUGAUUUAUUUUUUGUAUGCGUUAUACAUGAAAUAUUUCGUUCCUGUGUCAUCAUCACAAAUGGCAGUCUGCAGUGCGAUCUGUUAAGCAAUAACACGUGACGUCACAAUCAGACAGCUUUCUUUUUAAAUGAGUACGAGAAGGAAUUGUUUUGCUCCUAUGUCAUCACCAAUGUCAGUCUGCAGUGCGAUCUGUCAAUUAAACACGUAACAUCACAACAGACAGCUUUCUUUUUAAAUGAGUACGAGAGGGAUAGAGAUGGAAGAGUUGGACCGAGAAGAGAUGGAAGAGUUGGACCGAGAAGCUCUUAUUGAAACGGCUAGAGACAAUACAAGACAACUGGCACAAGAGAUCGCCUCACAUUCAAGUAUCGAAUCGUUUCUUCAGGAUGAUCUUGUUCGACUCAAUAUUCGACCAACAAAUGCCACCAAACUUGAGCAAGCAACACUCCUGGAGUAUAAGUAUGAUAUUGAUGGUGUAGUAGUCGAAUUGAAUAAUUUAUCAGCCUUGUCUUCACCAAUUAACUAUAUUCGUUUCAAUCCUUGUAAGGGAAGCAUGCAACCCGCUUAUCACUUAUUAAAAAAACAUGUCAAUCUGCAAUAUUACAGUGCUAAUGGGUUGAAACGCUUAAUGAAUG